GCAAUGAUUAAUCUACAUCUAAUAUUUAGCUAUUUUAAAUACAAAAAGUACACCAAAGAUAUAACGUGCUGUGCUUUUCUACAUGUUGUUUUACAGACAAACCUGACUCUGAAUAAUUUACAGCAGCAAGGCCUUGACAUCCACAGGAUCCAAUUAGUUGAAAUCCACAUGCAAUCAGUCCACAGGAAAAAGGCACAACAGGGACAUCUCCAGAGAGACGAGAGACUAUUAGCUAGUUUCUAAAAUACAGAGGGGUGCACUGCGUAAAGAGAAGAGCAAAUGCACCACUGCUUUGACAAAAGAUGGAAUCCUUGAAAAAAAAACAAUGUGAUCCUCGUAUACAAAUACCUCAGUUACAAACCUCUGAUAAGGUUCUGCUGACUUAGUAACAGCUGUGCUUUAAAUAGCAACAGCUAUUAGAUAUAGUGUAUGAUGGUGCAGUUUAGUGUUAUACAUAGCACUAUAGUGUAAUACUGUAUAGAUAGGAUCCGGUAGGACAAUGUAAUUUUUAAGUAAUCAGUUUAAGUGCCCUCAAAAAUAAAUAAAAGCAUCUGAUGGUGAAAUGCAAAACCCAGACGAUCUGAAUGUUUGUCUUUGCUGGAGCUUAAACUUUCCAUAAAUCAAGCGAAGAACUGCACACCUUGUUAAUGUUUUCCUUCAAACCAAAGACUGUAACUACAACCUACUUUCUUCUGCUGAAAAAAAAAGAUCAUUUGAAGAAUGUUUCAGCUGUUUUUGUGCAGACAAUGAAAAGUAAACAACUAAAACAAAACUAUCAAGUCAAGUUUACAUAGCAGAACCUGUCCUAGAUGUUUUUUACAAAAUUAAUCAAAGCCAGAAACACAAUAUAAACUUAGUAUCUGAAACUUUGAUUAAAAUUCCGGGUACUUUUAUCAGUAAAGAUUGGGUCUGUGUUGGUUUAAAUUAAAAGCUCUAGAGAAAAAGGGCCAUUUCUGUCUAAGGGUGGAGUUGUUUGUGUGGUUUCCAGCCACUGGCAACAAUGGCUUGUUUCUGUAAUCUCAAAUGGAACAUUUGUUAGACAUUGUGUGAUUAUGCACUACUGAAUAAAGUGUCAUAAAAGGC